rnacentral:rRNA from 1 species
AGUCAACCUGCCCUCGAGACGUGGACAACCCCGGGUAAACUGGGAUUAAUUCCAUGAUAGGUCAUCUCAUCUGGAAGGAGAGAUGGCUUAGAGGGGUGAGCGAGCUUCUUUUGUUCACCUGCUCGAGGAUGGGACUGCGACCGAUCAGGCUGUUGGCGGGGUAAUGGCCCACCAAACCUGUAACCGGUACGGGCCUUGAGAGAGGGGGCCCGGAGAUGGACACUGAGAGAAGGGUCCAGGUCCUACGGGGCGCAGCAGGCGCGAAACCUUCGCAAUGCGCGAAAGCGUGACGAGGUUAAUCCGAGUGGUCCCCGCUGAGGGGAUCUUUUGUCGACUGUAAAAAGGUCGGUGAAUAAGGGGAGGGCAAGUCUGGUGUCAGCCGCCGCGGUAAUACCAGCUCCUCGAGUGGUCGGGGCGAUUAUUGGGCCUAAAGCAUCCGUAGCCUGUUCUGUAGGUCUUCUGUUAAAUCCAGUAGCUUAACUAUUGGCGGGCAGAGGAUACCGCAGGACUAGNAGGCGGGAGAGGUGGCCGGUACUCUAC